rnacentral:miRNA from 1 species
CCAACGGCAGAUAGUGCCUACAAUGUUUCCUUGUGUCGCCGUCAGUCAUUCAUGUUACUCCAUGAAUGUAGAAUCGUAGCUCAGUACGUGUAAAUAAUUUCAUAUUUUCCGCAAGACAAUUCUAUAAUACAAAUGUAUACAGGAGUGGGUCAAGCGACGGGCCCGCGCCGUGUCACCAGUGCGUAGGAGCACCGCUGCGUCAUCCACGUGCAUCUCAAAAACCUUUCCACAAAAACUCACGCUAACCGACUAGCGAGGCAAAAGGCGACGAAGCUUUUAAACUUUAGGAACUUUUUCCCGUCGUAUCGCAUUCGUCAAGUGACAAGUACCUACACAAAGUGUCUAAUUAGUAUUCAUCUGGGCGCGUGUAGACCUCUUCGCGGUGGGGACGGGUUAUUAGCCGGCGCCGCCUCCGCGCCCAGGCAUAUUGUUCCGAGUUCUGCCCACCGAGCGCCGUACGCUCGCCCGACCAACGAUAAUUCAUAUUGUCAAUAUUUGUACUGCAACAACGAACCGACGAUUUCACCAGAGGAAGCCGAGCCGGUGGCUGGGAAGGCAAGAAGUCGGCAUAGCUGUUUGAAAAUGAUAUACGGCUGUGUCACUUCGAGCCAGCUCAAUCCACCGGCUUUCUGCAUAAAGAAGAUUUGCGGACGCUGCCGUAACGUGAAAAUUCGGAUCGCUCCCGUAGCGGCGCGACUCCGGCCGGGAGAGGGCGCAUUGACAGCUGUCACUGGGCACUAUUUCGCUUUCUUCGCGGCCGGACGUGGGAGGAAAUCGUUUAUUUUUAUCACACACGACGAUGUUCCCGUAGAGUGCGACCGGCUGUGUACGUGCGUGACGAAACGAUCGAAAACAAGACGACAAAAUGCCGAACGAGGAGGUGUUGGGUCCGCGGAAGACGAUGUUCGUACUAGUGAUUGUUGUGGGAUGUUUCGCGGUGCUGUGGCCCAGGAUUCUGUCGCCGCUGAUCUUGGGCCACUCGCGGGACCAGCUCAAACCGAACGCGUUCGACCGGGAGGCAGGAUGCUGCGAAGUGAUGUUCGAGACAGAACUGGCGGUAUUGGAACUGAUCAACGAGGUAUGUAGUUCAGCAGUCCACGUGGACGGAAAGCUCUCUCCAUACGCCGCGGCGGAGUGUCGCAAAGCCGUCAACGAGACCUGCGGAGUAGAUAUAGCGGCAUUCCUCAAACGAAAUGAGAACAUCGGCAAGACCUCCAAGAAACUAGUCGAGACUAUGAAGAACAGCAACUCCUCGUGCCUUAAGGAGCAUUUUGGCGUGCCCGUCUGGAGUCUCGCUCCUCACCAGGCGUUCAACUCAUGGACCCUACAAGACACUGUAAAACAAGAGCGUCCUCUGAACCGCGGCGCAGGGCCGCAUCCAGCACUGCGAGAGCGGGGCCGCGCGAUUCCUCAGGGCGUGGCCCCCGCGAGACCCGCGACACCGAUGCCGCCCCACGUUCGGGUACGAUCCUCCCCGCUAUCAGUGUACUAUGAGCUGGACAUCAAGCCACCACCGAUCCCGGGCAUGCGGCCCCCGCUCGGCUCGCCCGGGGGUCCGGUGCCCACGCCCAAGUCGUCCAUGGGGUUCGUCAUGCCGAUCUACACGAUAUGCAUCAUAGUGUUCUUCGUGUACACACUUAGCAAGAUCCUGUUCAAGCGCACCGCGUCCCCCUACGAGCCUGUUAGUCCCGACCCCCACUUCAGGAGCAGGGUGUUCCGCGACGACUCCAGGACGUCGCCCGACAAGCUCGUUGUUACUGCAAUAUCGGGCCUGGUGGCAGAGGUACAGCAGCAGAUGGAGGCGAGCUACGCGCAAAACCAGCAGCGACAGGAGGCCCAGGAUGAGCAGGCUCGCCCGUACACGAACGGUACAAUACUUCACAACACCGGCCCGGUGCAUAUCGUCGCCAGCGAAUACCAGGAAGUAUCCAAGGAAAAGACUCCUGAACCUCAGAGGGAAGUGCCAGAACCUUCACCUGAAGUGAAGGAACCUGCCCCUGAACCUGAAAAGCCUCUGUCAAAAGAAUCUUUAGAGACGAAAGAGUCUGAGGAAUUAGAGGCUGAAAAACAAGAAGAAUUGGUUCAAGAAAUACCUGCAACACAAUCUGAAGAAGCAGAGACGGACGAUGUUAAAGAAGAGAAGGGUCCAGAAGAAAAUGACUUAAAACUCGUUGCUGACGAUGAAGUGGACGAAAAUGGUGGCGAAGCUAAAUUCGAUAAAGAAGAAUCGGGUUCAGAGCCAGAGUUAAUAGAAAUUAAUAAUAAAGAGGAUGAACUGAUUAAAUUAACAAACGAUGACGUAGAAAGCGAUGACUACGUCAAAGUGGUACAGGAUUUCUUGAACGAGGAAGCUAAAAUAGACGUGAAAGAAGAGAAACAAUCGACUCCGGAUCUCCUGGAAGUAGCUAUUAAAGAGGACUCGCCUGAUAAACCUGAGGAUGACCAAGAAAAUGCUAGUGUAAAGGUGGUAGGCAUGGAGGUGACGGCGCACACGGCGGACGGCGGCGCGCUGCCCCGCGCUCCCCCGCCGCCCGCGCCCGCGCCUGCGCCCCAGCGCCCGCACGAGGCGGAGGAAGUGAAGUCGAUAUUCCUGGAGACGGAGAUUCCGCAGAAGUCUCGGGUCCUCGUCGCGGACUUCGUCGAAGACAGGCCCGAAGACUCCGCGCCCAGUAACAAUUCCCCAAUGGUGGUGAGCGGUAAAAUGACUUUGUCACUCAUACAGGACGCACCGAGAGACACUCCUGAGAAGGAUCCAGAAUCAACAGUGGAUGAUUUCACAACAGCCAGUGCAAUCACUCAACCCGCCGCUGAUAAACAAGUUGAAGAAGAGUCCGACGAAGAAAUAGAGAUCGAAGAAGAAAUAGAAGUGGAAGAGAUCGAGGAAGAGGAAGAAGUUGAGGAGAUUGAGGAAGACGAAGAGAACGAACCGGUGGAGGCGAAGAAACCAGAAGCAAAGGAACCAGUCAAAGUGCAAGAAGUAAAGGAAGCUGUUAAAGUACAGGAAGAAGUAAAACAAGCAGAAGAAGAUUCCGAAGAGGAGGUAGAAGUAAAUGAAGAUGAGGAACCAAUACAAGAUUCGAAAUUUGAACCGGUUAAAGAACUAGAUGCCGAUAAAGAAGAAGAAUAUUCUGAGGAAGAAAUUGAGGAAAAUGAGGAACCAGUGAAAGAGUCAGUUAAGGUAAAGGAACCGGUGAAAUUAAAAGAGCCAGUUAAAGGAAAACCAUCUGUAGAACAUUCAGAAGAUGAUAAGGAACAGAAGAAAGCGAAAGGAGAUAAAGAAUGAACUGAUAGGAAUUAACUUGUAGUGAGAGAAUGUUUGGUGGUUCUGUAAAGAAAAAUAUUAAACAAGUAAAAUGGAUUCAAAUAAAAAUACCUACAUUAUUUGGCCCUUUAAAUGGAAUCCAAAGAAGGAAUUAGGAAGGCAUAAUUUUUGAGCACCACCGAAAAUUUUUCACGUUUGAAGAAAAAAUACAUCAGGCAAAAACAACAUUAGUAUAUUUCAUACGGAACCACUAAACAGUUAUUUUAUCUUUAAAUAUAAUUUUAAAAAUGUUUAUUUUUGCAAGUUAUAUUUUCGUAUGCUUUCGCUCGUCACGUUAUUUUUUUACAAUUAUAUUUUUACCUUCGAUUGUCGUUUAUUUAAGAUGUAUAUUUCGUGCAGAUGUCGCCGUUCGCUUGUAGUAUAAGAUUUUAAGUGUGUUUAUGGACGUGGCAGUUUCUGGGGCAUAAUUUAUCAAUAUAAAAAAAAGACACUAAAAUUUUAGGCCUUGACAAAUCUAGUCAUUUUAAAAUUACUAUACUAAAAAGAUUUACAAUUACUCAGGUUUGUCUAUAAUCUUCAAUGACAACAAAAAUUAGCAUUGUAUGUUCAUCGAUCGAAAAUAACCAAUCAAAAUAAGUAAUUAGUAUGCCAUCAUUUAAUUCCAAUUUUUUCUUACAGUGAUUUGAUAAUCUAUUAAUUUCGAUCGAGAGAAUGUAAGAUGAUGCCUCAGUAUGCCGUAAGAGUGUCCAUGAACAUGGAACUACGAAUUUAGCAUUGCUCUCAGUGUUCGAUAUUUUUGUGCCAAAUUUACUUCGAGCUUUUUAAUUUUGUCAUAGUUUUACAUUGACCCCACACAUUUUGUAUUACAUUGACACCCCAUUGGCAAGUUUCCGGUUUAAACUACGAUAUUUAAAGAACCGGAAUGAGGUAGCCAGAAAAAUUACUGGAUAUUAUGAGCUUCACAGUUAAUGCGUCAUGGUGAAGAACACAAUGCUUUACCAUGUACUUGUAAUUUAAAGUUUUGAAAGAUUGUUUUUCGAAAACGUUGCUCGUCUCAUACUGUUCAAUUACAUAUUUUUACUGCUUAAUAUAUAUAUUUCAAUGGGGUGAUAUAACUAACUAUGUAUCAAUGUAUCAUUUAUAGGUUAGCGGUGAUGGACACGGCAGAGAAAAAAUCGAUUAAAUAUUGAAACUAUGACUCAUGAUCAUUCGCAUAUGGUUUCUAGUUACGUAAGUGUAAUUUCAAGCGAAGCGAAUUUUUUUUAUGAUAAUUUUAACCUUAUAGGAGACAUAAUUAGAUGUGGUUUCCAUUAUCUUCGAUUAGUCUAAUUGCCGGCACUCCGUCAGCGCUGAACCUUUAAAUUCACAGUCGCUGCUGGUCAUGGUUGAUGACGUCAUUUGUUGUUUCUUAGGCUGUCUUGCCAAAAUAUUUGUGGAUUAGUAUAGACAAUUUUUUUACCCUUAGCAAAUCUAAUUUGUGGCAAAUCUUCCUUCCAAAUGUUUAGCCAAAUUUUUACAAUGUUUUCCUAUUAUACACUAAUGUAUGAAUUAUAGGUAAUAAUAUAAAUUAAUAUUGUAUGAUCGCUUGCAAAAAAUAUUGUAUUAUAAUUAACAUUUUUUUUUUGAUUCUGUUAUGUAAAAUUUGUUAGAAUAUAAGAACCAGUUAUGGACUUGCCGACGUAUAAUUAUCAAAAAAAAAAGGUUGGAUUGAUCCUACAAUUUUUUACAGCAAUUUUUCUUGCAAGCGAUUUUUUAUUAGUAUCAUGCCCCAACCUCUACAUGUGUUAAUGUAUUGGGUGUGUUAGAAUAGACGGUAAUUUUGCACUGGCGUGUAGUUUUUAUGCAUUUAAGUUUAUAUCUUUGUGAUUUGUUAAGAAAAACAUUAUUUAUUUUGUUAUAUUUUUUUGCGGAAUGAACCCUUUAUGUGCGGAAUUUUUCGUCAAUAUUUUAUCAUACCUCAUUGUAUGACGGUUAGGUCUAUGGGGUAACGUGAUACAUCGCAUAAUAAGGGUGAAAAUAUUUAUUUUUGAAUGUUAACUAAUUUAUAUUAUUGAUUGUAAAUUUUUGUUUACUGUGGAAAUGUUUUUAGACGUUUUAUAAUCGAGUGUAACUUAUUAAUACAUGGUAUUCAGCAUUCCUUGUCUUUCUGAAUGUGUAGUAGAUCCAGAUCAGAUUGUCUAUUUAAAUGUAAACAUACACAUUUCCGAUAUGUAUUGCUUGUUUUUAGUUGUAAUAAAAUAACAGUAAAAAUGUUUUUUCUUUGUGCAAGUCUAGUUCCCAGUUAUGGACAAAACUAUCGUCACUUCCG